CCUCGCUCUCUCUCUCCUCUCUCCCUCCUCUCUCUCUCUCUCUCCUCCUCUCUCUCUCCUCUCUCCUCCCUCUCCUCUCUCUCUCCCUCGCUCUCUCUCUCCUCUCUCCUCCUCCUCUCUCCUCCUCCUCUCUCCUCUCUCUCUCCCUCUCUCUCGCUCUCUCUCCUCUCUCUCCUCACCUCUCUCUCCUCUCUCUCCCUCCCUCCAUAGAAAUGCUGGGCCGGGUUGAAGGCACAUGUUCAUAUCUCAGAAUCUCCCUGCCCUCUUUUCCACAGACGCCUGCUUCACAUGGUGAGGCAGGACAGAGGGAGAGAGGGAGGACAGAGAGGGAGAGGGGCAGGACAGAGAUGGAAAGAGGCAGGACAGAGAGGGAGGGAGGCAGGACAGAGAGGCAGGAUAGAGAGGAAGAGAGGCGGGAGAGAGGCAGGACAGAGAGGAGAGAGGGAGAGGAAGGACAGAGAGGGAGAGAGGCAGGACAGAGAGGGAGAGAGGCAGGACACAGAAGGAGGGAGGCAGGACAGGGAGAGAGAGAGGCAGGACGGGGAGAGAGAGAGAGAGGCAGAGAGGCAGGACAGAGAGGGAGAGAUGCAGGACAGAGAGGGAGAGGGGCAGGACAGAGAGGAAGAGAGACAGGACAGAGAGGGAAAGAGGCAGGACAGAGAGAGAGAGAGGCAGGACAGAGAGGGAGAGAGGGAGAGAGGCAGGACAGAGAGGGAGAGAGGCAGGACAGAGAGGGAGAGAGGCAGGACAGAGAGGGAGAGAGGCAGGACAGAGGGGGGAGAGAGGCAGGACAGAGGGGGGAGAGAGGCAGGAUAGAGGGGGGAGAGAGAGGACAGAGAGGGGAGAGGCAGGAUAGGGAGAGAGAGAGAGGCAGGACAGAGAGGGAGAGAGGCAGGGAUAGAGAGGGGAGAGAGAGGACAGAGGGAGAGAGGCAGGAUAGAGAGGGGAGAGAGAGGACAGAGAGGGGAGAGAGAGGACAGAGAGGAGAGAGGCAGGAUAGAGAGGGGAGAGAGAGGACAGAGAGGGAGAGAGGCAGGGAUAGAGAGGGGAGAGAGAGGACAGAGAGGGAGAGAGGCAGGAUAGAGAGGGAGAGAGGCAGGAUAGAGAGGGGAGAGAGAGGAUAGAGAGGGGAGAGAGAGGAUAGAGAGGGGAGAGAGAGGACAGAGAGGGGAGAGAGAGGACAGAGAGAGAGGGGAGAGAGAGGACAGAGAUGAGAGAGGCAGGAUAUAGGGAGAGAGGCAGGACAGAGAAGGAGAGAGCAGGACAGAGAGGGGAGAGAGAGGACAGGGGGAGAGAGGACAGAGAGGAGAGAGAGGACAGAGAGAGAGGGGAGAGAGAGGACAGAGAUGAGAGAGGCAGGAUAUAGGGAGAGAGGCAGGACAGAGAAGGAGAGAGCAGGACAGAGAGGGGAGAGAGAGGACAGGGGGAGAGAGGACAGAGAGGAGAGAGGCAGGAUAGAGAGGGGAGAGAGAGGACAGAGAGGGGAGAGAGAGGACAGAGAGCGAGGGGAGAGAGAGGACAGAGAGGAGAGAGGCAGGGGAGAGAGAGGGGAGAGGCAGGAUAGAGAGGGGUGAGAGAACAGAGAGGGGAGAGGCAGGACAGAGAGAGAGAGAGAGGAGUAGAAUGGAGCAGAUCACAGUUGAAUGUUUAAUGACAGUGUGUUAGCUCCUGGAACGCUGCCAGCCCAACUAUGUCUGCCUGCCUGCCUGUGUGUCUACCCACCCGCCUGCAUUUCUGGGGCGGGCCAGGCUGAGUGUAGUCUAACAUGUGACUGGGGGUGUAUUUCAACAGGGUUAUGUAAUCUCCACGGAUGCCGCUCCCUCCCUCCCAGUCCCUCCCAGUCCCGUACAGCUGAGGCUGAGUAGGGCGGUCGGGAGGCAAAUGAUGCAGAAGAGGCGAACAGUAAAUGUAAUGUUCACAUGUGACAGGGGUCAUCCUGCCUGACUGGGAGAGAUUGUUACAUAAGUCUAAAUGGGCGGAUAGCUGGUGGAUAUUACACUAGUUAUUUAUGGGUGGUAGUUCCUUAUGGGUGGCCUUUCCUUAUGGGUGGUAUAGGGUGGUACUUCCUUAUUGUGGUAUAGGGUGGUAGUUCCUUAUGGGUGGUAUAGGGUGGUAGUUCUUUAUUGUGGUAUAGGGUGGUAGUUCCUUAUGGGUGGUACUUCCUUAUGGGUGGUACUUCCUUAUGGGUGGUAUAGGGUGGUACUUCCUUAUGGGUGGUACUUCCUUAUGGGUGGUCCUUCUUGUGGGUGGUAUAGGGUGGUAGUUCCUUAUGGGUGGUAGUUCCUUGUGUGUGGUAUAGGGUGGUAGUUCUUUAUGGGUGGUAGUUCCUUAUGGGUGGUAUGGGGUGGUACUUCCUUAUGGGUGGUACUUCCUUAUGGGUGGUAUAGGGUGGUAGUUCCUUAUUGUGGUAUAGGGUGGUAGUUCCUUAUGGGUGGUAUAGGGUGGUAGUUCCUUAUGGGUGGUACUUCCUUAUGGGUGGUCCUUCCUUAUGUGUGGUAUAGGGUUGUACUUCCUUAUGGGUGGUCCUUAUGGGUGGUCCUUCCUUGUGGGUGGUAGUUCCUUAUGGGUGGUUGUUCCUUGUGUGUGGUAUAGGGUGGUAUUCUUUAUGGGUGGUAGUUCUUUAUGGGUGGUAUAGGGUGGUUGUUCUUUAUGGGUGGUAGUUCUUUAUGGGUGGUAUAGGGUGGUAGUUCUUUAUGGGUGGUAGUUCCUUAUGUGUGGUAUAGGGUGGUAGUUCUUUAUGGGUGGCAGUUCUUUAUGGGUGGUAUAGGGUGGUAGUUCUUUAUGGGUGGUAUAGGGUGGUAGUUCCUUAUUUAUUUAUUUAUUUAUUUUCACCUUUAUUUAACCAGGUAGGCAAGUUGAGAACAAGUUCUCAUUUCAUCAUUUCUCAUUCUCAUCAAGUUCUCUUAUGGGUGGUAGUUCCUUAUGGGUGGUAGUUCCUUAUGGGUGGUACUUCCUUAUGUGUGGUGUAGUGUGGUACUUCCUUAUGGGUGGUAGUUCCCAAUGGGUGGUAUAGGGUUGCAGUUCAUUAUGGGUGG
rnacentral:lncRNA from 1 species